rnacentral:lncRNA from 1 species
UGCGUGAAAUCGAGCAGGAAUCGCCGGAAGCCUGUUCGUGCAACUGCCUACAGCGGAUGCGCUCCUCGUAGGUGCCGUUGACCGAGGUUGAGUGCGUGGAGGCACACAAGACCGAGCAGCAAUUAGGCGGCGAGAGGCGCAUGAGCGACAGGCAUCGGCAGCGAGGAGCGUUGCAUUGGCAGGAAUCGGCGUCACAACGGCGAGGAGUGCGGCGGCAGGAAAUCGGCGUCGCGAUGGCGAGGAGCACGGUCGGCACCGAGCAGAGGAGCUUGUCACAUGCAGAAGCGCGCGAGUGUCUUGUUUGCUACCGGAAUAGUGGUCAGAAAAACAGCUACGGAGCAGUACACCAAUCG